GGGCCUAUAGCUCAGACGGUUAGAGCGCUUCACUGAUAAUGAAGAGGUCGGAGGUUCAAGUCCUCCUAGGCCCACCC
rnacentral:tRNA from 1 species